UACGUAGGGUGCGAGCGUUGUCCGGAAUUAUUGGGCGUAAAGAGCUUGUAGGCGGUCUGUCGCGUCUGCUGUGAAAGUCCGGGGCUCAACUCCGGAUCUGCGGUGGGUACGGGCAGACUAGAGUGAUGUAGGGGAGACUGGAAUUCCUGGUGUAGCGGUGAAAUGCGCAGAUAUCAGGAGGAACACCGGUGGCGAAGGCGGGUCUCUGGGCCGAUACUGACGCUGAGGAGCGAAAGCGUGGGGAGCGAACAGG
rnacentral:rRNA from 1 species